AGCAGCCGCGGUAAUUCCAGCUCCAAUAGCGUAUAUUAAAGUUGUUGCAGUUAAAAAGCUCGUAGUUGAAUUUCGGGAUCAAUAUAUCGGUCGUGCCUUGGUACGUACUGGUAUCAUUGAUUUCUCCCUUCUGACGAACCAUGAUGUCAUUAAUUCGGUGUUAUGGGGAUUAGGACUGUUACUUUGAAAAAAUUGAGUGUUUAAAGCAAGCAUUAGCUUGAAUACAUUAGCAUGGAAUAAUGAAAUAGGACGUUUGACCCUAUUUUGUUGGUUUCUAGGAUCGACGUAAUGAUUAAUAGGGAUAGUUGGGGGCAUUAGUAUUCAAUUGUCAGAGGUGAAAUUCUUGGAUUUAUUGAAGACUAACUACUGCGAAAAGCAUUUGCCAAGGAUGUUUUCAUUAAUCAAGAACGAAAGUUAGGGAUCGAAGCGAUCAGAUACCGUCGUAGUCUUAACCAUAAACUAUGACCGACUAGGGAUCGGGACUAGUGUUAAGUUUUAUAAUGACUCUAUUCGGCGUCCU
rnacentral:rRNA from 1 species